AUCCAGUUGAUAAGUCUCAAAUAGGACGAAAUGCGCAUCCUGGAU
rnacentral:hammerhead_ribozyme from 1 species